ensembl:lncRNA
GAGCGUGCACAAGCCAUGGUAAAGGGUGAGAGCGUAGAGGGGCUUCGAGGCAGCGGGACGUGCUGAACAGAAAAAAGAGCUUGCAGAUGUUCCCUGUAAAAGCACUGAGCUGAAUGACAACUGUGACAGUAUUGUUUUACCCUCUGCAUGAGAUCACAGGGGCUGCGCUAGGGCAGGGACAGACAGCACAGCAGUGCGGAGCUGAGCUGUGCUUGAGUAGACGGGCAGCCUCAGAGUGCUGAAUCCAGAUGCUGAAAGGCAAGAGAAGAUGGACUUGCUCAUUAGGGACCACUGCUACUUUUGAGACAGAAUUUUAUGCCUGAACCACACUGCCAUGAACCAAUGCAAAGUUUAUCUGAAGGCAAAGAAAACAAUCCUGGCAAGGCAGGAAAUGCAGCAAGGAGAUGAGUGGGGAGCUAGACGGUGAUGACGGUACUGUCUGCUGCCAAGUGGUUCAGCGUGGAUGGAGUUUGGAGACCAGCCUUUUGUUCCGAGACCAGCAACGAGCAGCCUCCCCUUUCACACAGAGCAGCACAGGAAAUCAAUACUGCUGUACUGCAGGAUGGAGAAGGUUCAACGUGUCACCUCAUGCCCACCUCGUUCCCUUGCUCAGCCCAUCCAUCCUCCUGCACUGAAUGUGGAAACGCUAGAAUGGCAGAAAUGCAUCAAGUAGGUGGCUCACGUGGGCAGUGAACGUGUCUGCAGACACACAGACAAUGCAGGCCGUGGAGGCUAUUUACUUAUCAUUCCAUGCAGAAAUCUGCAGGCAUCUGCUAGCAAACACCUCAGCCCCAAGUCCUCCUCUUGCAACCUCUGAACUCUUAAUCAAUGUGAUAGAGACCCUUGCUCAAAGAGCUGAACCUUGAAUCUCACGAAUGCUCCUGGAGCACUGUUUGGAAAUGAGAAGAAGAUUUGCUGAAGUGUUGUUCUUCUCUGAUCCCAUCCAAAGGGAAGUUCCAGGCUCCUUAGGGGAAGAGGCGGCAGCAUCUCAGCUGAGAGAAGACUGCAGUUUACUGAUAACAUUUGGGUGAAAAUACACACCCAGUUACAUUAUUCCUCCCUCACUAGUCCUCAAGGCCUGGUCCUCCAAGGUUGUUUUUGAACAGCACCUGGAGAAAUUCUGCUAGAGCAUGGCAGCAGAGGCCAAAGAACGAGCCAAAAACACCCACUCAUUUUUAAUAAUUAAAUACUCCGAAAGGAUUGGAUGCUCUUAAGAUGAAAGCUGGUUGUGUGGCACUGCUGCAAAACAAACAAAAUUUUCAGCGUCUCUAGAUAAGAACAAUGAUAAUAACUCCAAUCCUGCAGACACGGCCUUGCUCUAUUCCCAAAGUGAGGGCAUAGUCUGUGCUCAGCCAACUUCUCUGUGGGAGCAGAGAUCUGUUCGACACCGACUUGAAUUAAGAUAUUCCCAGGACUGGGCUCACGGUUGCGUGAUAGCAACAUAGCACUAUUGGGCUGGGGGAAUUUGAAACAAGCAGGAAGCUGCAUAAUCCACUGGAGAUUGACUGGCUGUUUUCAUCUCCUCACUAGAAGGGCUCUCGUGUCUGGGCCUCACUGCAGGGAUGCUCUGCUAGUUCCUCUUCCAUUUUUCACUUCUUUCUUUUUUUGCCUAGGAAAUCUCCUGUUAGGCAGGACUGAGUGUCCUUGAAAGCACCAGUUAUAACAAACAAC